rnacentral:rRNA from 1 species
UACGAAGGGGGCUAGCGUUGUUCGGAAUUACUGGGCGUAAAGGGCGCGUAGGCGGCGGGGUAAGUCUGGUGUGAAAUCUCGGAGCUCAACUCCGAAAUUGCACUGGAUACUGCUCUGCUAGAGGGCUGGAGAGGAGAUCGGAAUUCACGGUGUAGCAGUGAAAUGCGUAGAUAUCGUGAGGAAGACCAGUGGCGAAGGCGGAUCUCUGGACAGCUCCUGACGCUGAGGCGCGAAGGCUAGGGGAGCAAACGGG